rnacentral:rRNA from 1 species
GACGAACCGUGCGAACGUUAUUCGGAAUCAUUGGGCUUAAAGGGCGCGUAGGCGGGCGACCGCGUCGAGUGCUGAAAGCCCCCGGCUCAACCGGGGAACGGGCCUCGAAACGGGUCGCCUCGAGGCGAGGAGGGGGACCUGGAACUUCCGGUGGAGCGGUGAAAUGCGUUGAGAUCGGAAGGAACGCCGACGGCGAAAGCAAGGUCCUGGACUCGUCCUGACGCUGAGGCGCGAAAGCCAGGGGAGCGAACGGG